UACGGAGGGGGCUAGCGUUGUUCGGAAUCACUGGGCGUAAAGGGUGCGUAGGCGGGUCUUUAAGUCAGGGGUGAAAUCCUGGAGCUCAACUCCAGAACUGCCUUUGAUACUGAAGAUCUUGAGUCCGGGAGAGGUGAGUGGAACUGCGAGUGUAGAGGUGAAAUUCGUAGAUAUUCGCAAGAACACCAGUGGCGAAGGCGGCUCACUGGCCCGGUACUGACGCUGAGGCACGAAAGCUAGGGGAGCAAACAGG
rnacentral:rRNA from 1 species